CCCUUAGAUGUCCUGGGCCGCACGCGCGCUACACUGAACGGAUCAGCGCGUUUUCCCUUCCCGAGAGGGACGGGUAACCUGCUGAACCCCGUUCGUGGUAGGGAUCGGGGCUUGCAAUUAUUCCCCGUGAACCAGGAAUGCCCAGUAAGUGCAAGUCAUAAGCUUGCGUUGAUUACGUCCCUGCCCUUUGUACACACCGCCCGUCGCUACUACCGAUUGAACGUUUUAGUGAGGUACUCGGACUGAGCCUCAGAAGAUUCACGUCUUUUGUGCUGCUCGGGAAGAUUCCCAAACUUGAGCGUUUAGAGGAAGUAAAGGUCGUAACA
rnacentral:rRNA from 1 species